rnacentral:misc_RNA from 1 species
UGCUCACGGGGCACAGCCAUUGGGAUCACUCGUUCGACACCGCGACGUGGUCGACGCUGACGGGCGCGCGCAUCAUCGGAUCGAAGACGACGUGCCUGCAGGCGCAGGCGGAGUCGGUGCCCGCAGAGCGGUGCCGCGCCGUCGAUGGCGGAGAAGUGAUUCCCCUGGCUGAAGGCGUCACGAUGAGAGUGGUGCGAUGGAAUCACAGCGGAGACCCGUCGGUGAAUCCCGAGCAGCACAAUCCCGUCGAGCUGACGGCUGUGCCCGCCCGAGAUCCUGUCACGGGCGGGCUGCGGGCCGGUGUUGCCGAGGACUUUCCCAACGGCGGCGGGAAUCGCGCCUACCUUUUUACGGUUGAGGGCGCGGACGGCCGAUUCAGCUGGUUCUUCAACAACUCAGCCAGCGCCGUCGACCUUCACGUUCCGAUUGUCGUCGACGGCGUCGAUUAUGGCGCCCCGAUCGAGAACCUGAAAUCGGCGAUGCGCGACGCGAAACUCACCUCGGUCGACUUGUGGAUCGGCGGGAGCGCGGCGCCCGUCGCGAAGCUCGUGGCGCCGGUGCUGAAGCCGAAAGCAUUCAUUCCCGUCCACUGGGACGGGCUAUUCGGUGCGUUCGAGGCUGGCGUGCCCAAACCGUACGCGGAUGCAGGCGUCGAGGCCCUUCUCAAGGCGGCUGGUGCGAGCGUCGUCAAGCCGGCGCAGUACAUGGACAAAUGGCGGCUCGAUCGCAACGGCGUGCGGCCCGCUGGCCAACACAGAGGUGAAGAAGGCGCUUGGGUUCAAGUAGACGCGUUGCCGCAUUGAUUUUCGAUUUCGAUGGCUUGAUCGUCGACAGCGAGACCCCGGGGUUUCAGGCGUGGUCCGAGGUUUAUGCGACGCACGGUUGCGCGCUUCCGUUCGACAAGUACUCCGCGUGCAUCGGCACGAUUGGCGGGUUCGACCUGCACGGGGUACCUCGAAGAACGAUCCGGCCGCUCGCUCGAUCGCGCGGAUCUCGAACAGGCCUGCAACUCGCGCUGGCUGGAGCUGAUGCACGCGCAGCCGCUCCUGCCCGGCAUUGCCGCGUGUGUCUCCUCCGCGAAGCAGCGCGGGUUGAAACUGGCGAUCGCCUCGAGCUCCACGCAGAAGUGGGUGACGCGCAAUCUUCGGAAGUUCGGGCUCCUCGACCAGUUCGACGCGGUAUGCACGAGCGACUACGUGAGCGCGGUGAAGCCCGAUCCCGCCCUGUAUCUGCUGGCGCUCGAGAAGCUCGGCAUACGCGCCGACGAGGCGAUCGCGUUCGAGGAUUCGCCGAAUGGCAUUCUCGCCGCGAAAACGCGCCGGCGUGUUCUGCAUCGCGAUUCCCAAUCCGCUCACGAAGGACCUGCCGUUGGAGCUGGCCGAUCGACGCCUCGGCUCGCUCGAGGAGUUCGACCUGGACGAUGUCUGCCGCCUCCGCUCGCGGAGAAAAUCAGGCGAGCUACGGCGAGCCUCGCGGAAGCGCACCAGUGAGUGAUAGCGCGCGAAGGCGGGACAUCAUCGCGAUUGGAGGAGGAGGAUUUCUCGCCGAGCCGCGAAACUACGCGCUCGAGAAGUACAUCCUCGAUCAGACCGGCAAGGAGCGGCCGAACGUGCUGAUGAUUCCGACGGCGCGGGGCGAUGACGCGGAGUACGUCG